CUAUGAUGUAGGUACUAUUAUAAUGUUUAUUUUAAAGAUUAAACAACUAAGGCUUUGAAAGUUUGAGCACCUUGUCCAAGGACACUCAGUUUAUAAGAGGAUGGUCUGGAACUUGAACCAACCUUUCUGUGACGUCAAAGCUGGAAUGUUUUCCCUUGCUGUAUUAGUUUCACCUCUUUUCAAGACUAGCCAUUUUAGAUAACAUCUUUUAUUAAAAAUGACUUAUUUCUUGAGUGAUUACCUCUGUCAGUUCAAAGCAGGAAACAGAUGGCAUACCCAAAUUAGGAUGAUUCAGGGAGAGUUCAUUUACAAGGAGACUGUUUAUAAAGAAAAAGGAAGUAACUGAAAGGCACCUGUUGAUGAGACUAAAGUAACACAGUACGUGUCUAUGUGUGCGUGCAAGAGAGCUAAAUCCCAUCCUUGAAGUGCAUGUGAAAACUAUCAUAUGGAAAGGAGCGAGAGGGAGCAGGAAAAAAGUGGUCUUUGUUGUGAAGCCACAGUCCCAAACUUCAACCUAGAGGAAUGUCAAGUCCUGAAAAAAGCUACGGAGAAGGCUUGCAAUUAUGUCCUUAGUCACAACAAGAGGGUAAGAACGUUCAAGGCACUGGAUUGAGAGACACAAAAGUCAGGAAGUGACCCUUUCGUCGGGAUUUCAGAGGCCGCGGAGUAGAAACAAAGUCCUCUCUCAGCUUGGGGCACUUCGGGCGAUACCAUCCCGAGGGGCAGCGUGGGGGAGGCGGGCGAGCGCCGCGGAAACUGACAUCUGCGUGCUCACCGAGCCGCGAGUAA
rnacentral:lncRNA from 1 species